UCUGAUGUGAGGCAGAAUCUGAAGGAAGCUGGAGGAAAAUGCACGGUCCAAGGUACACGAACCCAAUUUGAGGCAGUGCCAGCCGGAUGAGCUGCCUACACACAACGAAGUCCGAAGCCGCCAAGGGCUGACGUUGUAAACUUGGGUGAUCGCGGUCAGACAGAUGACGUU
rfam:Paenibacillus sabinae T27, complete genome.